rnacentral:rRNA from 1 species
GUAGGUGGCAAACGUUGUCCGGAAUUAUUGGGCGUAAAGCGCGCGCAGGCGGUCCUUUAAGUCUGAUGUGAAAGCCCACGGCUCAACCGUGGAGGGUCAUUGGAAACUGGGGGACUUGAGUACAGAAGAGGAAAGCGGAAUUCCAAGUGUAGCGGUGAAAUGCGUAGAGAUUUGGAGGAACACCAGUGGCGAAGGCGGCUUUCUGGUCUGUAACUGACGCUGAGGCGCGAAAGCGUGGGGAGCAAACAGGAUUAGAUACCCUGGUAGUCCACGCCGUAAAACGAUGAGUGCUAAGUGUUAGGGGGUUUCCCGCCCCCCUUAGUGCUGCAGCUAACGCAUUAAGCACUCCGCCUGGGGGAGUACGGCCGCAAGGCUG